GAUGAACGCUGGCGGCGUGCCUAAUACAUGCAAGUCGAGCGAACGGACGAGAAGCUUGCUUUUCUGAUGUUAGCGGCGGACGGGUGAGUAACACGUGGAUAACCUACCUAUAAGACUGGGAUAACUUCGGGAAACCGGAGCUAAUACCGGAUAAUAUUUUGAACCGCAUGGUUCAUAAGUGAAAGACGGUCUUGCUGUCACUUAUAGAUGGAUCCGCGCUGCAUUAGCUAGUUGGUAAGGUAACGGCUUACCAAGGCAACGAUGCAUAGCCGACCUGAGAGGGUGAUCGGCCACACUGGAACUGAGACACGGUCCAGACUCCUACGGGAGGCAGCAGUAGGGAAUCUUCCGCAAUGGGCGAAAGCCUGACGGAGCAACGCCGCGUGAGUGAUGAAGGUCUUCGGAUCGUAAAACUCUGUUAUUAGGGAAGAACAUAUGUGUAAGUAACUGUGCACAUCUUGACGGUACCUAAUCAGAAAGCCACGGCUAACUACGAG
rnacentral:rRNA from 1 species